GCUGCAAUUACGUUUAAAAAUAGCAACGUAGAAAAAGGCCGCCACGGAGAAGGGGAUGGAAUAGAAGAUUGCGGGGCGAGAGGGGAGGGAGAAAAAUAGCUGGGAGUAGUUGCUGGAUUGCAUCAGAAAGAGACCUUAGAGCUUCGUACACGACUUCUUGGAGCAGAGACCAAUUCAAGAGAACGCGAAGAGAACGUUUCGAGAUGCGCAAAACGAUGGAAGAAAACGACACCACGUGAUCGCAAUGAGAUUUUCGAAUGCGUCUGCGUCACGUGGUAGCUACGACGACCACAACUAUACAGGGACGUUCUCGUUCUCGUCGGGAAAGACGAUUACGAGGCGCGUUUACGUCGCUUCGAGACUUGCCCGCGAUUCACAAAAUCGAAUGGUAAAGCACGAGGACGUCGGGGUAUCAACGUCAACAUGUCUGAGAGAAAGAGAGAGAGAGCGAGAGUGAGGAAACUAGAGCUCUUAUUCGUAUUCGAGAAACAUUUCACAGGGAAUUUUGCCAAAAGUACGCGUGGGUAGUAGUAACGUCACCAAAAGCUUUUCUGAUCUAUUUAUCUAUUUAUCUGUAUUUACCGGUAGGCAACCGGGGCACUUAUUGAAACACUCUUGAAAAUUCAGAAACAUGUGCAGCGAAACUAUUGAGAGAAUUCGAACGAUAGAAAAUAUUUAUAUUAAGAUACAUAUAAAAAAAAAAAACGAAAUACAAAA